UUAUCUUAUCUUCCAGCUGGCAUGCUUAUCUUCUUGAUUCUUUUAUUCUAGGUGGACUUCUGGGAUAAUAUUAUCUUCUCCAUUACAUCUUGAACAUUGAUGGUCUGGAUAUUUAUGUCCAAUUAUCUUGCAAUAUCUUGUCAAUAAUCCAUCUGAAAUAAAUCCUUUCUUAAUUGCUCUUGCAGUAGAUUAUUUUUCUGGGUUAAGUAAUGUCAUUAUCCAUUGCCUAACAUCUUCCAUAUCUGGUUGUCGUAGUUCUUUUGAAUUUGAAUAAAUCAUCUGAUGGUCUCUUGAAUAAUAGCUNN
rnacentral:lncRNA from 1 species